rnacentral:rRNA from 1 species
AUUGAACGCUGGCGGCAGGCUUAACACAUGCAAGUCGAGCGGAGCGAGGGUGCUUGCACCUUAGCUUAGCGGCGGACGGGUGAGUAAUGCUUAGGAAUCUGCCUAUUAGUGGGGGACAACAUUCCGAAAGGAAUGCUAAUACCGCAUACGCCCUACGGGGGAAAGCAGGGGAUCUUCGGACCUUGCGCUAAUAGAUGAGCCUAAGUCGGAUUAGCUAGUUGGUGGGGUAAAGGCCUACCAAGGCGACGAUCUGUAGCGGGUCUGAGAGGAUGAUCCGCCACACUGGGACUGAGACACGGCCCAGACUCCUACGGGAGGUAGCAGUGGGGAAUAUUGGACAAUGGGCGGAAGCCUGAUCCAGCCAUGCCGCGUGUGUGAAGAAGGCCUUUUGGUUGUAAAGCACUUUAAGCGAAGAGGAGGCUACUUAGAUUAAUACUCUAGGAUAGUGGACGUUACUCGCAGAAUAAGCACCGGCUAACUCUGUGCCAGCCGCCGCCGUAACAC